AGGACGAACGCUGGCGGCGUGCUUAACACAUGCAAGUCGAGCGGAAAGGCCCUUCGGGGUACUCGAGCGGCGAACGGGUGAGUAACACGUGAGCAACCUGCCCUUAGCUUCGGGAUAGCUCCGGGAAACCGGAAUUAAUACCGGAUAUGACUAUGGCCGACAUCAGCCAUGGUGGAAAGUUUUUCGGCUAGGGAUGGACUCGCGGCCUAUCAGCUAGUUGGUGAGGUAACGGCUCACCAAGGCGACGACGGGUAGCCGGCCUGAGAGGGCGACCGGCCACACUGGGACUGAGACACGGCCCAGACUCCUACGGGAGGCAGCAGUGGGGAAUAUUGCGCAAUGGGCGAAAGCCUGACGCAGCGACGCCGCGUGGGGAUGAAUGCCUUCGGGUUGUAACCCCUUUCAGCAGGGACGAAGCGAAAGUGACGGUACCUGCAGAAGAAGCGCCGGCUAACUACGCGCCAGCAGCCGC
rnacentral:rRNA from 1 species